rnacentral:lncRNA from 1 species
AGGCUCAGUACUACAAUAAAAAUAGACUAGCAAAACAACGAUCACAUGUUACAGACCAGAAAUGUAGUUGCUGAUUUUGACACAAUCGUUUACAUUCUAGAAAUGAACCUAGAAAUGCAGUGGCAAGUAGUUGUUGAAUAGUAAAUUUUUCAACAACAAUUUAUUUGUUUGACACGAGUGCAUGAUUGGUACAAUGUGCUAAAAACUAAUUUUAUGCGUAUUGAAUUUUAUUUAUUUUUACUGUCAACAACAUAGGUUAUUCCAAUGCCAUCAAAGCUGAAGCCACCACCCCCAAGACCUUUGAAUGGUUCUAUCACGCAGGCGAUCACUCAACCUAGCACGUAGCCUUCACCUACCAUGCAGUCUGCACUAGCCACUUUGCCAACAGAAACAAGUAGUUCUAUAAUUGUUAUUUAACUCUUACUUCAACUUUUUUUCUUAUUGACAUUUAUUGCUUUAACACUUGCAGCAUUCCCAAUCGAGUGUAAGCGAUGUGGUCGUACUUGUGGCUUAGACACAUCCCAGAUAGUCAAGGCCACUCAUAGGAAGCUGGAAAUCAUGUAUGAAGAUAGCAAUGGAAGACCAUCUAGUCCUAAUGCUAGUCUAUUUGUAUCUGAAAUAGGAUCUGGUGUGAGAAUAUUUGCACCUCUCCAAAAGAUCUUUUAAAAAGAUGUGUCUGAAUUUGAAAAAUUCCCUAUUUAUGACAAAGUGGAGGUAACAUUAUUGUUUUAACUUGUUUUGUUUCUUGUCCUAGUACAACUUGUACGCAUCUUUUUCUUUCUUUAAACAUUUCAUUGCUGAAGAAAGGAAUAAAGUUAAUAACAAGUUAGUAUACCAGGUAUCAAAUUGACAGGUUCUCUAAAUGAUUAGAAGUCAAUAUCUUAAUUAAAAAUAUUGGAUGUUUGCAUAUGUUCAUUGACAUGUAUGCAUAUCUUGAAUGAUCUGAAUUGCUGGCACUUUGAUUUUGGUUGCUUGGAGUAGCAACUUCAUCCAAUAUAUUUGUGUGAAUUUUGUGCUCGUCAUUGUGUUUUCACUCAUGGUAUGUUGCUAUAUAUAGGCUAUUUUUGAUGUACAAUAUGAUAAAUAUGCAACUCUCAAAGAGAUCAUGGAGAAAUCAAUGGCCACUUCCUCUAAGGAGUUUUGAUAUGAGCUGCACACACAUCACAAGAAGUUUCUGGACCAACCAAUGGCUCAUAGGAAAGCUAAUAAGCCUAAAGAAAUCUGACAUGAGGUUGAUUGGGAUUAUUUGAGUAACUAUUAGGAAAGUGCGAUUUUAGGUGCAUUUAUAUAUAGUAUGACUUCCAUUUAUGUUCAAUGGUUAACUUAUUUAGUUCAUUGACUUUCUUUGUUCUGUUAAUUGGACAUUACAAAAAAAGACCAAGGUAGCAAUUGACAAUAGAUCCCGACAAGAAUUUACCCAUUUUUCUUGUUCUAGAUCAUGUAUUCAAUGUCAGGCUAUGUGGGUAAGUAAGAAGGAAUAUAUUCAUCUCUAUUAGGAAACAAUUUCAAUUCAAUUCAAUUUUAUUCUUAUUUCUUCUAAUAGGAUAAUGAAACUGGACGACCAGACAAAAUUCAACUACGGAAGAACACACAUUACAAGGAUACAAAAGGCUAGAUCCAUCCUGUGGUUGAGGAGAAACAUGUAAUAAACAAAUAAUAUAAGUCUUUAAGUUUAUUAUUACUUAAUGGACUAAAUAUUUUUCUACCUUAUUUGUGUUAAUACUUUCCUAUUGUCAUGUAGAAAGAGAUGGUAGACAUACAAAAAACACAACAAGCACAUGUUGUGGGAGAGAAGAGUGAGAUCCAAGGAGUAUAGCUCACUGCUAAUGACAUUUUGACUCAGGUCCUUAGAGCUACUUCUUACUACUAUACGGGUUUGGGCAGGGGUCCAAAGAUUCAACGUGCUACAUCUUGUGUAGACACAACUCAAUGAGAGAAUGCCAAGGUUCGCCAAGUCAUGCAUAAUUUGCAGAGCCAAAAUGAGUGUACUCUCGCUUUGUUAAAAGAGAUUAUGCCAGUUGCCAUCGCUAGAAUAGGUAGCCCUAGAGUUCCUACUAAUCCUCAUUCGUCUUCGUCACCAUCAUAACCUGAUCACGAGUCACAUGAUGAUCAUUAGUUUAAAGCUCUUCUAUUCCAUUUACAUGGUUUUAUAUUUUAAUGGUUAAUACUCCAUUAUAACAUAUGCUAUUAUUUUUGGAUUAAGCUAGCUUUCUCUUAUAUAUGAAUUUGACUAGGCUCUUUAUUUUGAAAUCCAUUAUAGUUUGGGCAUGUAACGUAGUUACUUAUUCUGAAAUUGGAAUUGACUGGUAAAGAUAUGAUAUAGUAUUUUGCCUUGCAAUUGUUUUGCUACAGGCUUUUUAUUGUGAUUAUUA